CGGAUCACUUCUCCCGCCUCUUCUCUCCAGUUGACAGCCACACUCGGGGAAACAAAGGUGCCGCUCUGGUCUGGCGCCUCACCGCUCGUGAUGGGAAAAUCGACAGCGGCGUUCGCCCUGUCAACGAGGCAGUCGGUCCUACAUUUGCUUUGGUUGGACAAGACGACGUAGGAAAAGAGAUACCGUUUUUCAUGGUGCUCACGCUGAACAGGAGCGACAACCUAACAAGCCACAAGUCUGAUGCCUCCAGCCGUCACCACUUUUUGAUUUAUUCUUAAUCAUAAGGAAUAAAUAUGGAAACAUGAUGCCGA